rnacentral:rRNA from 1 species
CCUGGUGGUUAUUGCGAAAGGGUCAUACCCGAUCCCAUUCCGAACUCGGAAGUCAAGCCUUUCAGCGCCGAUGGUACUUUGUCUUAAGAUAUGGAAGAGUAGGUCAUCGCCAGGC